rnacentral:rRNA from 1 species
UACAGAGGGUGCGAGCGUUGUUCGGAAUUAUUGGGCGUAAAGGGCGCGUAGGCGGUGCGGUAAGUCACCUGUGAAAUCUCCUGGCUCAACUGGUAGCUUGCAGGCGAAACUGCCGUGCUGGAGUGUGGGAGAGGUGCGUGGAAUUCCUGGUGUAGCGGUGAAAUGCGUAGAUAUCAGGAGGAACACCUGUGGCGAAAGCGGCGCACUGGACCACAACUGACGCUGAGGCGCGAAAGCUAGGGGAGCAAACAGG